GAUGAACGCUGGCGGCGUGCCUAAUACAUGCAAGUCGAGCGAAUGGAUUGAGAGCUUGCUCUUAUGAAGUUAGCGGCGGACGGGUGAGUAACACGUGGGUAACCUGCCCAUAAGACUGGGAUAACUCCGGGAAACCGGGGCUAAUACCGGAUAACAUUUUGAACCGCAUGGUUCGAAAUUGAAAGGCGGCUUCGGCUGUCACUUAUGGAUGGACCCGCGUCGCAUUAGCUAGUUGGUGAGGUAACGGCUCACCAAGGCAACGAUGCGUAGCCGACCGGAGAGGGUGAUCGGCAACAAUGGGACUGAGACACGGCCCAGACUCCUACGGGAGGCAGCAGUAGGGAAUCUUCCGCAAUGGACGAAAGUCUGACGGAGCAACGCCGCGUGAGUGAUGAAGGCUUUCGGGUCGUAAAACUCUGUUGUUAGGGAAGAACAAGUGCUAGUUGAAUAAGCUGGCACCUUGACGGUACCUAACCAGAAAGCCACGGCUAACUACGUGCCAGCCGCCGCAGUAA
rnacentral:rRNA from 1 species